AUUGAACGCUGGCGGCAUGCUUUACACAUGCAAGUCGAACGGUAACAGGCCGCAAGGUGCUGACGAGUGGCGAACGGGUGAGUAAUGCAUCGGAACGUGCCCAGUCGUGGGGGAUAACGCAGCGAAAGUUGUGCUAAUACCGCAUACGUACUGAGGUAGAAAGUGGGGGACCUUCGGGCCUCACGCUAUUCGAGCGGCCGACGGCUGAUUAGCUAGUAGGUGAGGUAAGAGCUCACCUAGGCGACGAUCAGUAGCGGGUCUGAGAGGAUGAUCCGCCACACUGGGACUGAGACACGGCCCAGAAUCCUACGGGAGGCAGCAGUGGGGAAGUUUGGACAAUGGGCGAAAGCCUGACGCAGCAACGCCGCGUGAGCGAAGAAGGCCUUCGGGUUGUAAAGCUCUGUCAGGGGGAAAGAAGGCACCUGGGUUAAUAGCCCAAGGGCUGACGGUACCCCCAAAGGAAGCCACGGCUAACUACGUGCCAGCCGCCGCGGUAACAC
rnacentral:rRNA from 1 species